rnacentral:lncRNA from 1 species
AAAGCACAGUGACUGUAGGUUUAGUUUGUUUCCUAAGCUUUGGAAUCUUGUUUUUUACUCCUAAGCUAGAUUUUUUUUUUUUUUCUCAUUUGGGGCAUUGCUAUAGGAAAUGACCACCAAGCCAGUAAAUGCAGGAAAGCUGUUUUCUGAGUUUCUCAGAGGGAGUGUCAGUAUGUGCUUUCCCCAAGAGAGGUCACAUAAACAAAACUUGUCAACCUCAGUCACACAGCGCCACACUGCCGCGGGAUGGGCAGGGAGAUGGAUUUCUGAGCUCUUAGCUGGUUAGGUAUGGAUGAAAUGUGAACACAGCCUUUGUAGCUAACGGGUUGGUUUUAUAACUGUAGAGUACAAAUUUUCAGAAGAGAAAAGCCACUAAAAGGCCAAUGAAGGAGACAGAUGAACUGAGAUGUCCCGAGGCUUGGGCUCUGCCCUGCCAUCUGCAAGUGAUGGAUUCCUGAGGAAUGGCCACUGGUCAUGUUGAAGGAAUCCUGAGCAGACCUGGGACGGAUGUUCAUCCUCCUGAUGACUCUCUCUAGUAACCUCAGUCCGCGCAUCAGAACUGUGAAUGUACAUACCGGGCAGGGGAAGGGGCAGUGCCCGCCCUGUCUGCGGGCGCCUUUGGGGUGCGGGCUUCAGGUUUUCAGUGGAAUAAACAUGACACGACG